UCGAGAAUCUUCGGCAAUGGGCGCAAGCCUGACCGAGCGACGCCGCGUGCGGGAUGACGGCCCUUGGGUUGUAAACCGCUGUCAGAGGGGAGGAAAGCUUCGGCUUGACCGAGCCUCAGAGGAAGCACGGGCUAAGUUCGUGCCAGCAGCCGCGGUAAGACGAACUGUGCGAACGUUAUUCGGAAUCACUGGGCUUACAGGGUGCGUAGGCGGCUUGUCAGGUCAGGUGUGAAAUCCCACGGCCCAACCGUGGAACUGCGCUUGAAACCGAUAAGCUUGAGUCAGCUAGGGGUGCACGGAACUUCCAGUGGAGCGGUGAAAUGUGUUGAUAUUGGAAGGAACACCAGAAGCGAAAGCGGUGCACUGGGGCUGGUCUGACGCUGAGGCACGAAAGCCAGGGGAGCGAACGGGAUUAGAUACCCCCGUAGUCC
rnacentral:rRNA from 1 species